UUUAUGGCAUAGGAGAUGGGAAUUGCUUUUCUCCUCCCAUCUUGCGUUCAUCAUUUUUUUGGCCGUAUUGUUUGUUCUUCUCGUUUGAUCAGUAAUUUAAAACUUGAAGCAUUGGCCAGUAAUCAUUCAAUAAUAUAAAAUGGGGCCUGGGGCUUAGUCAACUAAACAAUUAAUGGUCCCAAGUGACCCUGAAAACAUAGUUAUUAAACUCAGCCUGAACCUUGACCGAUUGGGGAAUUGAGUCGAUUGGUCACUGGUUCAAUCAAUAGAUCAUAAA
rnacentral:misc_RNA from 1 species